GACAGAGGGUGCAAACGUUGUUCGGAAUUACUGGGCGUAAAGCGCGUGUAGGCGGCUGCGUAAGUCGGGCGUGAAAUCCCACGGCUCAACUGUGGAAGAGCACUCGAAACUGCGUAGCUAGAGUCCUGGAGAGGGAAGGUGGAAUACUUGGUGUAGAGGUGAAAUUCGUAGAUAUCAAGUGGAACACCAGUGGCGAAGGCGGCCUUCUGGACAGUGACUGACGCUGAGACGCGAAAGCGUGGGGAGCAAACAGG
rnacentral:rRNA from 1 species